AUUUUUGAUAUUGCUGCUGUCUUGUGGUUUCAAUAGCAUGUGUUUUUAAAGAGAAAAUAUUAUUUUCAUGCUGAUUUUCAUUUGGUUUUUUAAAUUGAAUAUCAAUUAUGGAAAUGAGCUUUGUGAUUUUCGUAAUUGAUUGUUUUUCAAACAAACACUUCAUCAUAUAAACAUUCUGCAUGAUCGAGUUAGCAUCCUGCAAAGUUCGAGGGAAAGGUGAUUGACGGCUGCGUUAGUGUCGUGCCACUUCAACUCGAAGACUGAAGAAAGAUCGAGUAGCAAAGCGCGGAGACAAAGCUGCCAACUGGUAAGGACAGCAAUGUUAAUGGUUCAGGGUGGGGAGUCCUAAUCACUUUUAGCAUAAUAUGCGCGGAGCCACAUGUUUGCUGUUUGUGUUGGUUUUUAAUUUGGGCUAGAGAAACCUAAAUUCAACCACAAACCCCUGACGAAACAAAGGCCCAAGCUAACGCAAGUGAUAGAGAAAGGCCCUACCAAGAAAUAACCGUCCCACGUUAUGAAGGGAGACAAGAACUUGAAGCCUCUCUAAAAAUCGGCCAACAAGCGGCUGUUAUGGUUUACAAAUUCCAGUUUCAUAUUGUGAUCGCCCAAAUAUGAUGAAGUCACCGUAAUACCUAGGGCUGGUUCGGGAGAAAUUUUUAGUUGUGACGGAAACACAAGUAGUACAUCACGUGUUUUAAUAGCAAUUGUGAAAAGUUUUAUUUUUAAGUUAUUAAUUUUUUAGCACACAUAUCCCACAAUUCGUUUAGUGACAUGUGAUGUACUAACCCGUGUAUCGAUUACAUUGAAAAAUCUCUCCUGAUUCGGGCCAGAA